rnacentral:rRNA from 1 species
AGGGAAUCUUCCGCAAUGGACGAAAGUCUGACGGAGCAACGCCGCGUGAGUGAAGAAGGCCUUCGGGUCGUAAAGCUCUGUUGCCGGGGAAGAACAAGUGCCGUUCGAACAGGGCGGUGCCUUGACGGUACCCGGCCAGAAAGCCCCGGCUAACUACGUGCCAGCAGCCGCGGUAAUACGUAGGUGGCAAGCGUUGUCCGGAAUUAUUGGGCGUAAAGCGCGCGCAGGCGGUUUCUUAAGUCUGAUGUGAAAUCUUGCGGCUCAACCGCAAGCGGUCAUUGGAAACUGGGAGGCUUGAGUGCAGAAGAGGAGAGUGGAAUUCCACGUGUAGCGGUGAAAUGCGUAGAGAUGUGGAGGAACACCAGUGGCGAAGGCGGCUCUCUGGUCUGUAACUGACGCUGAGGCAUGAAAGCGUGGGUAGCAAAC